UCCCAAAUAGUCUGGUCUGUUAGGAUACGUGGCUUUCACCCACGCGACUCGGGUUCGAGUCCCGGUUUGGGAA
rnacentral:tRNA from 1 species